GGUGCGAGCCGCUGGCAGCUUCGCGUUCCCGCCGGGCGAGCCGCCCCGGGACAGAGGCGCGCUAGGAGCGCUUGCGCAGCGGCGUCGGCGCAAGGUCCGGCCCCGGGGCAGUCAGUCAGUUGCGGGCGGCUCGGAGGGGGCCUCUCAGCGGACGUGGAGGCUGCGGGACGGGCCGCCCACCGGUUGAACGCUGAAUGCUCAGGCGGCUGAGGAGGAAAAUUGGCACAUAAUGGAUGCUCAUAUCACAUGGAACAAAUCACUUAUUUUCACUGACCAGGAACUGUAUCCAGAAAGAGAGAAAGGCAUGGUCUCUGAAAAGGCUGCAAUCAAGGUGUUGGCAGGGGCUGUAUUUGUCUUAAGGCUCAACUGGAGG